UACGGAGGAUCCGAGCGUUAUCCGGAUUUAUUGGGUUUAAAGGGUGCGCAGGCGGGUUGCUAAGUCGGUGGUGAAAUCCCGGGGCUCAACCCCUGGCUUGCCAUCGAAACUGGUUACCUUGAGUAUGGGUGAGGCAGGCGGAAUUCGUGGUGUAGCGGUGAAAUGCAUAGAUAUCACGAGGAACCCCGAUCGCGUAGGCAGCUUGCCAUUCCAUCACUGACGCUCAUGCACGAAGGCGUGGGGAUCAAACAGGAUUAGAUACC
rnacentral:rRNA from 1 species